GGAGAGGUGCCUGAGAGGCCGAAAGGACAUGUUUGCUAAACAUGCGAACGGGUAACUGUUCCGAGGGUUCGAAUCCCUCCCUCUCCG
rnacentral:tRNA from 1 species